UACAGAGGGUGCAAGCGUUUAAUCGGAAUUACUGGGCGUAAAGCGUGCGUAGACGGUUACAUAAGUCGGGUGUGAAAGCCCCGGGCUCAACCUGGGAUUGCAUUCGAGACUGCGUAGCUAGGGUGCGGAAGAGGGAAGCGGAAUUUCCGGUGUAGCGGUGAAAGUGCGUAGAUAUCGGAAGGAACACCAGUGGCGAAAGCGGCUUCCGUGGGACGGUACGUGACGCUGAGGAGGCGAAAGCGGUGGGGAGCGAACAGG
rnacentral:rRNA from 1 species